UUGGGGUGAGCACCUGCACAGUCACUGAGUGUGGACUGUUUAUCUCGCGGGCGGUUGUGUUGGCCUGAAGAUGAACUGAGCGAAGGGGAACAAGUGUGGCAGGAGAACUGUGGCCCCAGUUACUUGAGCCAGAGAAAGGAAUCUGAUCUGACCUUCACUCACUUUCCCCGACUUCCUCCUGGGUUCAGCUGGUGUUCAUCCAGUCCCUCCGGGGUCCAGCUCACCCCACAGGAGAGGGGAGGGAGAAGAGCAAGCAUCUUCAACUUAUGAUGAAGUACUUUCCAUGCUGGUUGCCCUGCUGACUGGUUUAGCCAGCUGACUUUGGAGCCCUCCGUGAGAGCUGGCAGGCACAGGCUGGCUCUCGCGUGGGUGCUUGUCUGGGCUCUUCAGAAGGCCCUGCAAGGACUGAAGGCAGUCAACCCUCAGGGCUUUUGCUGCUGGCGCUUCCCACUCAACAGGCAGCCUGCUGGUGAUGGAGGAGCAGGAGGAAGGGGAGAGGAAUAGGGACUGACAGCAGGUGACUCAAAGCCAGUUGCCUGGUCCAGUCGCCACCCAGCCCACUGGAGACUCGAGAACGCUGGCCUGCAAACAUGAAUGUGCCUUCAUGAGGGCCCGCGGAUGGCUGUGAUCGCUGAAACUGUCGGAGGAGCUGAUCUGGACAACCAGGGGGCAGCUCUCGGUGAAUUAUUGUGCUUCACUACUUUUGAAGAGAGGCAGGUGUGCUGCUUUCAAAAAGCUACAGUAAUGGGAACAAGGUGUGACCAGGAGAGGUCCUCAGGGAACACCUUAGGAAUGAAUUGUACAGCAAAGCACUUGCUUAUUGGUGAACAGGCAAGCUCCAAACGUGAUUUUAAAUGUUCUGUUUGACUGUCUCUCCCAACGGCGUUUCUCACCAUCUUUUUGUACUUCCACGAGGAAAGCGUUGGCUAAGCAAAGGCCAGUUUCCUCCCAGCCACAUCCAAAUUAUUCCAAACCUCAAAUGACCCCUCCCCACAAGUCGAGGAUGUUAGCUGGGGUUGGCAGCUUGUGAGGAAGCUUGCAUUUCACAGCAGGAAGAGGAGUGUGGCCAAAACUUCCACACGAAGACAACCCUGAUCCCAGCACUAACACAUCUCGAAGUGGCUACAGACACAGUGCUCAAAAAUGCUGGGGGAGCUUAGCUAUUGGAAUAUUCAGGGGAGAAACAGGGAAAGCUGCAGGUUCCCUGUGGGACCGGGCCUGUACCAGAUCUGGAAAAUGUAUUAAA